rnacentral:rRNA from 1 species
UACGGAGGGAGCUAGCGUUGUUCGGAAUUACUGGGCGUAAAGCGCACGUAGGCGGCUUUGUAAGUUAGAGGUGAAAGCCUGGGGCUCAACUCCGGAAUUGCCUUUAAGACUGCAUCGCUAGAAUUGUGGAGAGGUAAGUGGAAUUCCGAGUGUAGAGGUGAAAUUCGUAGAUAUUCGGAAGAACACCAGUGGCGAAGGCGACUUACUGGACACAUAUUGACGCUGAGGUGCGAAAGCGUGGGGAGCAAACAGG